GUCCCCACAGCACCCAGCACCCCUUCCCUUCCCCACCAUGAGUCCUCGGCCUCACGCCUUCGCCCUCCUCCUCCUCCUGGCCGCCGUCCCAGGGCUGCGGGCGGCCGCCACCUUGGAUGAGUCCGGAGGGGGCCUCGUGAGUCCCGGGGGGUCCCUGACCCUGGUCUGCAAGGGCUCCGGCUUUGACUUCAGCAGCACCGACAUGGGAUGGAUGCGACAGGCACCCGGGAAGGGGCUCGAAUACGUUGCGAGUAUUUACAGCAGUAGUAGUUACACAGACUACGCAUCGGUGGUGCAGGGACGCUUCACCAUCUCCAGGAACAACGGGCAGAGCACGCUCACCCUGCAGAUGAACAGCCUCAAGGCCGAAGACACCGCCACCUACUACUGCACGAAAGCUGCUGCUAGUGGUUACGGUAAUGAUUAUGCUUAUGGGAUUGCUCGUGCUGCUGGCAAUGGUGCUGCUGGUGAUGCAGGUUGUGGUGAUCGCCAUGAUGAUAGUGUUGGUGCUGCUACUGGUGUUGGUGGUGUUAAUGGUGUUGCGGAUGUUGAAGGUGUUAUGGAUCUUAAUGGUGUUGGUGCUGUUGAUUAUGUUGGCGAUGGUGACGAUGAUGUUGAUGAAGGUCUCGGGGGUCUUAAUAGUGCUCGUGAAUGUGAUAGUUGCAUAUUCGAGCACUAUCGCCACUCCAACCACUGUCACGAUACUCUCUGUCAUCAUCAUGUCUAGCAUCAUCAUCACCAC